CUGGUAUGUACUGGUGUUAUUGGUUUCUCCUUUCUGAGGAGCCAUGAUGUCAUUAAUUUGGUGUCGUGGGGAAUCAGGACUGUUACUUUGAAAAAAUUAAAGUGUUUAAAGCAGGCACGCGCUUGAAUACAUUAGCAUGGAAUAAUGAAAUAGGACGUUCGAUUCUAUUUUGUUGGUUUCUAGGAUCAACGUAAUGAUUAAUAGGGAUAGUUGGGGGCAUUAGUAUUCAAUUGUCAGAGGUGAAAUUCUUGGAUUUAUUGAAGACUAACUACGGCGAAGGCAUUUGCCAAGGAUGUUUUCAUUAAUCAAGAACGAAAGUUAGGGGAUCGAACACGAUCAGAUACCGUCGUAGUCUUAACCAUAAACUAUGCCGACAGGGAUCG
rnacentral:rRNA from 1 species